rnacentral:rRNA from 1 species
UACGUAGGGCGCAAGCGUUGUCCGGAAUUAUUGGGCGUAAAGAGCUCGUAGGCGGCUUUUCACGUCGGGUGUGAAAGCCCGGGGCUUAACCCCGGGUCUGCAUUCGAUACGGGCUGGCUGGAGUGUGGUAGGGGAGAUCGGAAUUCCUGGUGUAGCGGUGAAAUGCGCAGAUAUCAGGAGGAACACCGGUGGCGAAGGCGGAUCUCUGGGCCAUUACUGACGCUGAGGAGCGAAAGCGUGGGGAGCGAACAGG